AUUGAACGCUGGCGGUAUGCUUAACACAUGCAAGUCGAACGGUAACAGGCCUUCGGGCGCUGACGAGUGGCGGACGGGUGAGUAACGCGUAGGAAUCUGCCUCAUAGUGGGGGACAACGUGUGGAAACGCACGCUAAUACCGCAUACGCCCUGCGGGGGAAAGCGGGGGACCUUCGGGCCUCGCGCUAUGAGAUGAGCCUGCGUUAGAUUAGCUAGUUGGUAGGGUAAAGGCCUACCAAGGCGACGAGCUAUAGCUGGUCUGAGAGGACGAUCAGCCACACUGGGACUGAGACACGGCCCAGACUCCUACGGGAGGCAGCAGUGGGGAAUAUUGGACAAUGGGCGCAAGCCUGAUCCAGCAAUACCGCGUGUGUGAAGAAGGCCCUAGGGUUGUAAAGCACUUUCAAUAGGGAGGAAAACCUGUCGGUCAAUACCCGGCAGCUUGACAUUACCUAUACAAGAAGCACCGGCUAACUCCGUGCCAGCAGCCGCAGUAACAC
rnacentral:rRNA from 1 species